rnacentral:rRNA from 1 species
AACGGCCAUACCAUGCUGAAUAUACCGGUUCCGUUAGAUCACCGAAGUCAAGCAUCAUUGGGCGCGGUCAGUACUUGGGUGGGUGACCACCUGGGAACACGGCGUGCCGUU